rnacentral:misc_RNA from 1 species
AACGCACGAGACCUGCGGACCUGCGGAGGGAUCAUUACCGAGUUUACAACUCCCAAACCCCAUGUGAACAUACCUGUUUCGUUCCCUCGGCGGUGUCCGGCAACGGCCCGCCAGAGGACCCAACAAACUCUUUUGAAUUUUUCAGUAUCUUCUGAGUGAAAAAAACAAUAAAUCAAAACUUUCAACAACGGAUCUCU